UUUAACUUGAAGGAAAAUAGUCACGUUUUCAUGUAUAAAUUGAAAAUAUUUAAUUUUUUUUUUAAUUCACACCAAUAUCAAAAUGAAAAUGUUACUAUUAAUCUUUUUUACACUAAUUUAUUCAUUAUUUUUAACGUUAACAAUAGUUGACGCUGAAUCAUGUACUAACAAUAUGCAUUUAUGUGAAAAAGACAAUGAUUGUUGUUCAAAAAGAUGUUCCAUGUUUCGAACAUUUUGGAAGAGUUUAAGAUAUAUGUGUUAUUGAUCAUCAGUUAAUUAAAACAAAUUAGGCACCUUAGAAAACUUGGAUAACAUUUAACGAAUAUUCAUAUAUAAAACAAGUCAAAAUAACAAAAAAAAUAUGAUUCAUCAAAUAAAAAUUUUCUCCAUUCAUCUUAUAUUGUUUAUCCGAUAUUGUGACGAAGAAACUUUGUAUUAUAAAUAUUGCGUAUAUUAUUAUUUUAAAGAAUGUAAAAUUCAAUUUUUUUAUAAUUACUUAAUUGUAUAAGCUCAUGAUGUUUUAGUCAAAAUAUAAUAUAUUUAUAGAUUUGAA